GGAUUUGCAGUUUCCCUGCGCGCCCAGACGGCCGGGGUUCUGAGGUUAGGCGGGUUUCGCCUAUUUUCUGGUUCCCCUGCGCCAGACAAUUCUGCCAACCCGGAAAUUGGAGUUGAGACCCUGCGUCCUGAGCUUUGAAACCUCCUCCAGGACUUGGAAAAUGAUGUGACAUCUUUGUGCUUGAGUUUUCUUAUUAUAAUGGAGGAUAGGAGAAGCCUACCAUGCUGCUUCAGACAAGUAAAUGAGGUCUCAGCUGUCUCUCUGGGAAAACAGAGCUAUUAAGAGUCUUUAUUGGGGGGCCAGCACUAUGGCGCAGCAGGUUAAAGCCCUGGCCUGAAGUACCAGCAUCCCAUUUGGGCACCGGUUCUAGUCCCAGCUGCUCCACUUCUGAUCCAGUUCUCUGCUAUGGCCUGGAAAAGCAGUAGAAGAUGGCCCAAGUCCUUGGGCCCCUGCACCUGCGUGGGAGAUCCAGAGGAAGCUCCUGGCUCCUGGCUUCAGAUCAGCACAGCUCCAGCCAUUGCUAAAUGGAUGGAAGACCUCUCUCUCUCUCUCUGCCUCUCCUUCUCUCUCUGUGUAACUCUGACUUUCAAAUAAAUAAAUAAAUAAAUAAAUCUUUUUUUUAAAAAGAGUCUUUGUCUCAUUGGGUUGCUGUGAAGAGUGAAUGGCAUAACAUCUAUUAAAUUUCUGGCAUAGCACUUUGACCUAUUAAAUAUAAGAUCAAUUAUUUCUAAACUGUUUGUAUCCAGAGAUCUUAGGUAGUAUGAGAGUUGGUAUAAUAGGAAACUUAUUAAAUCUUUCAAUAUGUAUGCAUUUGGAUACUUACCUUAUUUUUAAAAUUUUUUAAAAAGAUCUAUUUAUUUUACUUGAAAGAGUUACACACAGAGAGAAGGAGAGGCAGAGAGAGAGAGAGAGAGAGAGGUCUUCCAUCCGCUGGUUCACUCCCCAAUUGGCCCAUUGCCGGAGCUGUGCCUAUCUGAAGCUAACAUCCAGGAGCUUCUUCUGGGUCUCCCACGCGGGUGCAGGGGCCUGAGGGCUUGGGCCAUCUUCUACCGCUUUUCCAGGCCAUAGCAGAGGGUGGGAUCGGAAGUGAAGCAGUGGGACUCAAACUGGUGCCCAUAUGGGGUGCCGGCACUGCAGGCAGCAGCUUUACCUGCUAUGCCACAGCACCA